UUUCCAAAAAACAGCCAGCCGCACCUUCUCCCUCUCCCUCGAUAAUCUCUCUCUCUCCCUAAACCUUCUCUCCAUCAUCAGUCAAGCGGUGAUGUCGCACCCAUCACACCACCAAUGGUGGACCCCGCCACUGCUCCAAUUACCUACCAACCGGCGGCCUCCACCCAUCAACGAACCCGCUUAGAUCUGGCAAAAAAUGAGCGGCACACCACUGCCUCCCUCCUUGUCUUCUCUCGACGACGUCGUCCAUCCAAGUGUCACCAUGCUACCAGCAGCCACCUCCAGCCAGUGCUCAAUCGGUGAGGAUUCACCGAAAACUGACACCAAACGACAGAACCCAUUGGCAAGUUGAUUUGCAAUGAUACGUUGGCCCAAGUUGGACGCGAAUGGUGUAUUUAAUGAGUGUAGACUUUUUUGAAAAAAACGUUUUUAAAACUGUGUAGUAUUUACAGAGUUAAAUCUAUGUGGAUUAAACUAUUAGCAUAGUUUAGUUACUAGUUUUUUUUAUAAAAAAAAACUAUUAGCAUAUUUCACAGACUAAAAGGCAUGAAGAACUAUUACCAGUUUUAAAUUAAAGUUAGAUGUGUUCGCUGUAUUUAGUGUUCAUAGACUUAAAUCUAUGUGGAUAAAACUAUUAUCAUAGUUUAGUUACCAAUUUUUUAAAAAAACUAUUAGCAUAGUUCGAGAUGUUAUGCUAGCUCUAUGAGACAUAAUUUAAUCUAUGUAAAAAUU
rnacentral:lncRNA from 1 species